UACGUAGGGGCAAGCGUUGUCCGGAGUUACUGGCGUAAAGCGCACGCAGGCGGUCUCUUAAGUUUGGAGUGACAGUUGGUGGCUUAACUGCCAAAGUGCUUCGAAAACUGAGAGACUUGAGGGCUUCAGAGGGACACGGAAUUCCGGGUGGAGUGGUGAAAUGCGUAGAGAUCCGGAGGAACACCAAGGCGAAGGCAGUGUCCUGGGAGUACCUGACGCUCAGGUGCGAAAGCCAGGGAGGCGAACGG
rnacentral:rRNA from 1 species